AGCUUGCUUUCUUGCUGACGAGUGGCGGACGGGUGAGUAAUGCUUGGGAAUCUGGCUUAUGGAGGGGGAUAACGACGGGAAACUGUUGCUAAUACCGCGUAUUAUCGGAAGAUGAAAGUGCGGGACUGAGAGGCCGCAUGCCAUAGGAUGAGUCCAAGUGGGAUUAGGUAGUUGGUGGGGUAAAGGCCUACCAAGCCUGCGAUCUCUAGCUGGUCUGAGAGGAUGACCAGCCACACUGGAACUGAGACACGGUCCAGACUCCUACGGGAGGCAGCAGUGGGGAAUAUUGCGCAAUGGGGGGAACCCUGACGCAGCCAUGCCGCGUGAAUGAAGAAGGCCUUAGGGUUGUAAAGUUCUUUCGGUAUUGAGGAAGGUUGAUGUGUUAAUAGCACAUCAAAUUGACGUUAAAUACAGAAGAAGCACCGGCUAACUCCGUGCCGGCAGCCGCGGUAAUACGGAGGGUGCGAGCGUUAAUCGGAAUAACUGGGCGUAAAGGGCACGCAGGCGGUUAUUUAAGUGAGGUGUGAAAGCCCCGGGCUUAACCUGGGAAUUGCAUUUCAGACUGGGUAACUAGAGUGCUUUAGGGAGGGGUAGAAUUCCACGUGUAGCGGUGAAAUGCGUAGAGAUGUGGAGGAAUACCGAAGGCGAAGGCAGCCCCUUGGGAAUGUACUGACGCUCAUGUGCGAAAGCGUGGGGAGCAAACAGGAUUAGAUACCCUGGUAGUCCACGCUGUAAACGCUGUCGAUUUGGGGGUUGGGGUUUAACUCUGGCGCCCGUAGCUAACGUGAUAA
rnacentral:rRNA from 1 species